AACGAACGCUGGCGGCAUGCCUAACACAUGCAAGUCGAACGAGAUCUUCGGGUCUAGUGGCGCACGGGUGCGUAACGCGUGGGAAUCUGCCCUUUGGUUCGGAAUAACAGUUGGAAACGACUGCUAAUACCGGAUGAUGACGAAAGUCCAAAGAUUUAUCGCCAGAGGAUGAGCCCGCGUAGGAUUAGCUAGUUGGUGUGGUAAAGGCGCACCAAGGCGACGUUCCUUAGCUGGUCGGAGAGGAUGAUCAGCCACACUGGGACUGAGAAACGGCCCAGACUCCUACGGGAGGCAGCAGGGGGGAAUAUUGGAAAAUGGGCGGAAGCCUGAUCCAGCAAUGCCGCGUGGGUGAUGAAGGCCUUAGGGUUGUAAAGCUCUUUUACCCGGGAUGAUAAUGACAGUACCGGGAGAAUAAGCUCCGGCUGACUCCGUGCCAGCCGCCGCCGUAA
rnacentral:rRNA from 1 species